rnacentral:rRNA from 1 species
UACGUAGGGUGCAAGCGUUAAUCGGAAUUACUGGGCGUAAAGCGUGCGCAGGCGGUUUUGUAAGACUGUCGUGAAAUCCCCCGGGCCUCAACCUGGGGAAUGGCGAUGGUGACUGCAAGGCUAGAGGUUUGGCAGAGGGGGGUAGAAUUCCGACGUGUAGCAGUGAAAUGCGUAGAUAUGUGGAGGAACACCGGAUGGCGAAGGCAGCCCCCUGGGAUAACACUGACGCUCGAUGCACGAAAGCGUGGGGAGCAAACAG